GCGUCCGUAGCUCAUCAGGAUAGAGCGCCGGUUUCCUAAACUGGAGGCAGCAGGUUCGAGUCCUGCCGGGCGCGCCA
rnacentral:tRNA from 4 species